rnacentral:rRNA from 1 species
CAAUAGCGUAUAUUUAAGUUGUUGCAGUUAAAAAGCUCGUAGUUGGAUUUCGGGUGUGAACGACCGGUCCGUCUUUGAUGUGUACUGGUUGGUUGCGCCUUAUUGCCGAGGACGUGGUUCUAGCUUUCAUUAGCCGGGACACGGAGUCGGCAGCGUUACUUUGAGAAAAUUAGAGUGUUCAAAGCAGGCUAUCGCUCUGAAUACUACAGCAUGGAAUAACACGAUAGGACUCCGAGCCUAUUCUGUUGGUCUUCGGGACCGGAGUAAUGAUUAAGAGGGACAGUUGGGGGCAUUCGUAUUCCGAUGUCAGAGGUGAAAUUCUUGGAUUAUCGGAAGACGAACAUCUGCGAAAGCAUUUGCCAAGGAUGUUUUCAUUAA